UGUGACUGUCCAACUCCUGAUACUGUUGCCCC
rnacentral:piRNA from 1 species